UUUAGUGGUUGAGUUUUGAUUCCCAACUCCUGCAAUUUUAUGUUUUAUUUACAACUAAAAAGGCACCUUUACUUUUUUUAUACAUUUUAUGUCGGAUAUUAUCCCUCGGUUGUUGUAGAAAAUCGAGAUAAAAACUCUAAAAAUAAUUUUUAUUCCUUCAGAAUUAUAAUGUUUUGUCUCAUUCAUUUUUUGAGCCCUAACGAAUGAAAGGAACCCAUUCUUCUCCAGCGACCAAAGGAGUUUCCGAAGAAUCAGAACCACCACCCAUCUUCUCUAAGGAGGAAGUGAGAUCAAAUUAUUCUCCUUUGAGUCUCUCAUCACAUUUUUGGUAUGUACAAGUUCUCCAUUACUGUUAUUGUUGUUUUCGUUGUUCAUGUUGCAGCCGUAGGUCGUUGUUAUUGUUGUUGUUAUUGUUUUUCCAUUGUUGAU
rnacentral:lncRNA from 1 species